GUUAUUUUUUAAUAAAAAAAUAUUCAGAAAAAUAAAAAUUGAGAGAAAAAAUUAAACAAGCUUUAUAAGGCAUUUUUUAUAUUUUUACAUAUACGUAUAAAAAUUUAUUGAUAUGUACAAGUCAUAUAUUUCUCAUGUUUUGUUAAUUAUCCAUCCAUCUCAAAGAAUGCAUUGGACUGUCAGAGUCUAGUGAAGAAGGACCAACCAUUCCAUAAGCCAGUGGAGAAAACAAGUAGAAGCUAUAUAAUGUGAAUAAAUAAUAUAUAAUUGCUCCGUUAAA